CUUUCUUUUCCGCCGGGCCGCGGGAGAAGGAAGGCGCCUCGGGAACCGUCGGCCUAGCGGGUGGGGCGGCAGCGCAUGCGGGCCUGUCGCCGGGCUCUUUGAGGGGGUGGGGGGGAGUACCAGUCUGACAAGUACCAGUCCCUGCGGUGUUAGAUCCUCGUCUUUUUUUCUGCCUGGAACCUGGCUCCGAGCCAGAGCGCGUGGGUCCGCCUCGGGCCUCUCCGCUCUGUGGGUCCCGCGCCCGGGGCCUCCAUCCCGGUGCCCUCCGUCCACAGCCGGGCACAGCGGAGCGGUCGGCGCAGCCUCAGCCGCAAGGUCUUGUCAGGAGGCCCCUUCCUCUCCGCCUCCCCAGUUGACGCAGCCUCGAGCUUUCCUCCGCGCCUUCUGCUCAGUCGCAUUUUAGCACAGUUUACCUACUAACAAUGAGUUCUCGACGCAGUGGAGCAUUGUCGGCAUUUGUUCCCGGAUCUUCCUUUGUGAAUAUGCUCUGGAGACGUGGCAUUGAAGUUGGAGAAGAAUCCGUACAGUAUAGGAGGCCCUGAGGCUGUAAAUGCCGGCUAUACCCUUAGAUGCUUCGGGUCACAGAGAUGUGUAUUUCCCGAUACGAUACAGAAGAAACCGGUCAAGAGCUGGGAGACUGGGAGAACUUUUGCCUCUUCAAAAGCAAAGGUACAACAGAGCCUAUGAGUUGAAGAUGAAUGAACGUCGUUGUGAUAAAUGUUUUCCGAAAACUUGUCAUAGAGGAUGGCUGUGAAAAAACCACCAGGAGGACAGCUGUGCUCGUAACAAGCAUGUAAGUACCUGCACAUGAAUGUUCAAGUCCUUAGCAGUGGUGUUUAAAAAUUCUUCAUUGCCUCAAAGGUGUGGCAUACAACAUUUUGGAAUGGAAAAUGAAGAAUUGGUCAAGAGGACAUGAAUUAAAGCAAAUGAUGAAAAUUAAUAUUUUAUUUAACAUUGAUCAUCUCACAGUAAAUUAUGUAGAAAAAUAUAAGUUCAAAUGAUUUUAAUUGCUGGGCAAUAAAGUCUCUUUUCUUUAAAAUAUAUCAGGUCUUUAAACAGCUUCAUUUUCUCUUUUUUUUUAGAUUUUUUUAUAAGUUUAUUUUAUUUUAAAAAUUUAUUUAUUUAUUUUUGGCUGCAUUGGGUCUUUGUUGCUGUGUGUGGGCUUUCUCUUGUAGCGGUGAGCAGGGGCUACUUUUGUUGCGGUGUGCAGCCUUCUCAUUGUGGUGGCUUCUCUCGUUGCGGAGCACAGGCUCUAGGUGUGCGGGCUCUAGAGCACAGGCUUAGUUGUGGCGCACGGGCUUAGUUGCUCUGCAGCAUGUGGGAUCGUCCCGGACCAGGGCUCGAACCCGUGUCCCCUGCAUUGGCAGGCGGAUUCUUAACCACUGCGCCACCAGAGAAGCCCCUAAACAGCUUCAUUUUCAUAGUUAGUAGUCAGACUUGUUUUUAACAUACUUUAGGGAUAGUAUAUUCUUGUCAGUAACUAGCUUCUCUGUGGAUAGUGAUUCUCUUUGAAGUGUCAGGUGGUGGGCAGCUGGGGAGACUUUUUAGUACAUCCAGUUCUCAUACCCUUUCUUGCUUUACUGGGUUUCUGGAGAGGUGCUAAUCACUGCGUACUAAAUAACUAUGAAGGCCUCCCCUUUAGAACCUGCUGUUGUUCCUGAAAAACAAGCAUUAGUUGACCCUUGACCCUUAGGGGCACCAACACUCCCUAAAGUCAAAAAUCCAAGUAUAGCUUUAUAGUCCACCCAUUGUAUCCAAGGUUCCACAUCCUCUGAUUCAGUCAGAUGCAGAUUGUAUAGUGUAGUAUGUAUGUAUUGAUAAAAGAAAAUCCACCCUUUAUGUGGCCCCAUGCAGUUCAAAGCUGUGUUCAAGGGUUAACUAGUUGAAAUUUUCUCAAAUUACCCAUUAUAAGUAAAGGUUUCACCUAUGACCUACAGAUUUUUUAAUUUUAAUUUUAUUCUUUGUUUGCUUUUACAUUUGUGAAGAAAAAAGGAUUUGGGAAUUAAUUUAGGACAAAUUAGGAUUUGUCCUAAUCCUAGUACUAGUAAUAAUCUAGAUUAAGGCAAAUAAUGACUGGACAGUCCAAUCUGUCCAGGGCAUGCAAAUUUACAAGAAUUCAAAAACAACUGAAAUCCUACCCAGGUGAAGAUUUAAAUUUAGCUAAAUCUUGCUUUUCCCCUGUUGAGUCCCACAGUACAUAAAUUCCUUGCUUUUAUCAAGGUUAUAAUUUCAAUAUGGUAAGUCAAACAGUAUGAAUUGUACAGCAAUAUCACUUCCCAUCAAAGGCAACAUUUUUUUUUGAAAAGCA